AUGAACGCUAGGCGGCAGGCUUAAUACAUGCAAGUUGAGGGGCAGCAUGAUAUACGCGAGUAUAUUGAUGGCGACCGGCGGACGGGUGAGUAAUAGGUAGGAGACCUACCUCAUACGAGGGGGAUAGCAUAGAGAAAUCUGUGGUAAUACCCCAUGAGGUUAUAUGAAUAGAGGCAUAUAAUCAAAGCAUAAGCGAUUAUGCGGUAUGAGAGGGGCCUACUGACCAUUAGCUAGUUGGUGAGGUAAGGGCUCACCAAGGCGAAGAUGGUUAGGGGUUUUGAGAGAGAGACCCCCCACAUUGGAACUGAGAGACGGUCCAGACUCCUACGGGAGGCAGCAGUAGGGAAUAUUGGGCAAUGGGCGAAAGCCUGACCCAGCCAUGCCGCGUGAAGGAAGACGGCCUUAUGGGUUGUAAACUUCUUUACUACGCGAAUAGAGGUUAGUACGAGAUACUAAUAGGAAGGUAGUGUAGUAAAAAGCACCGGCUAACUCCGUG
rnacentral:rRNA from 1 species